AUCGCUUCUCGGCCUCUUGGCUAAGAUCAAAGUGUAGUAUCUGUUCUUAUCAGCUUAAUAUCUGGUACGUCCCCUAAUGGGGACCAGUAUAUUAAACUCAUUUUUGGAAAUUUUGGGGAGGUGCUCUGGGCUUGCUCAUCCCUCCCCUAAGGGUCAACCUGGUAUUGCAGUACCUCCAGGAGUGGCCCAAACAAU